UUUCAGCAGUGAUUGUUUAUCUCGCCUCCGUUCAGGCAGGCAGACAAGCGUCAGUCUCAUUUAUUUCUCAUCUGUCGUCGACACUGGUCGUGCGUAGGCAUCCUCUACUUCUGUGUUUCAAACAGCCAUUCUGUUUUCUGUGAGCACACAAAAAAUCAUCAAUUUGGCACCAUAGACGCUUCGAUUUCACCGCAUCCGGCCGGAAUGCAAGCGGAUCAGUUUUCAUUCGUCGCCAAAGAGUCCGAAAUGCCAGCGGUAGCCACGAAACCCCCGUAGGGUGAUGGUACCGCUGGCUUUCGGAAAUAUGAUGACUACUUCUCGUGUAGAACUUUUAAGAUUAUAAUAGUAAAAUAUUAAUUAACGUUUGUGUUUAUAAUGACCAUUUUAAAUGUGCUUGUAACGUUAAAACAAAUAAAAACUAGAAAAUAAACAUCAGAACAGUAAAGCAAA